CCUACGGGGGGCUGCAGUGGGGAAUAUUGCACAAUGGGCGCAAGCCUGAUGCAGCAACGCCGCGUGAAUGAUGAAGGCCUUCGGGUCGUAAAGUUCUGUCCUAAGGGAAGAAUACAGUGACGGUACCUUAGGAGGAAGCCCCGGCUAACUACGUGCCAGCAGCCGCGGUAAUACGUAGGGGGCAAGCGUUAUCCGGAAUCACUGGGCGUAAAGGGAGCGUAGGCGGUUUGACAAGCCAGAGGUGAAAGGCAAUAGCUUAACUAUUGUAAGCCUUU
rnacentral:rRNA from 1 species